UUUUUUUUCAAUGCGUUUCUUUUGAAAAAUAAAUAUGCUAUGAUGCAAAUGAUGCAGACUGGACUGGCUGUUUGUGCAAUCUCUGAUCACUAGGUCGAAGCUUCAGUCAAAAUCGGAACAUGAAUCCCACUUAAGGUUAACUGAACACUGUCUGAACACAAAGUCACCAUCAGAAUCAAGUCACCAACAGAACCGAGUCACCAACGGUACCUGUAAUAAUGAAUAACCCUUCCCCACUCACGGGUGUAGUCUAGGCCAGGGUAAAGCUUGAGAGAAACGCAGCAUAAAUAACCUUUCGCAGAAUACUGUCAUAUACACACCCGAAGUAUGUAACGACAGCAUCCCACCAGGGUCUGAACUGCUCGUGAUAUCAAUGUUCCGCUAAGUGGCGCCAUACCACCCGCUUCCCAUGAAUCACUCUAUUCCUAGGUAUCCUAGAUUGCACUCAUGGUCUGGGUAUUGGACCUUUUACCUCAACUGACUCN
rnacentral:lncRNA from 1 species